rnacentral:rRNA from 1 species
CCUACGGGUGGCAGCAGUGAGGAAUAUUGGUCAAUGGGCGCGAGCCUGAACCAGCCAAGUAGCGUGAAGGAUGACUGCCCUACGGGUUGUAAACUUCUCUUAUAAAGGAAUAAAGUGAGGCACGUGUGCCUUUUUGUAUGUACUUUAUGAAUAAGGAUCGGCUAACUCCGUGCCAGCAGCCGCGGUAAUACGGAGGAUCCGAGCGUUAUCCGGAUUUAUUGGGUUUAAAGGGAGCGUAGAUGGGUUGUUAAGUCAGUUGUGAAAGUGUGCGGCGCAACCGGAAACUUGCAAUUGAUACUGGCAGUCGUGAGUACAGGUGAGGUAAGCGGAAUGCGUGGUGGAGCGGUGAAAUGCUUAGAUAUCGCGAAGAACUCCGAUUGCGAAGGCAGCUUACUAAACUCGCACUGACAUUGAUGCUCGAAAGUGUGGGUAUCGAACAGGAUUAGAUACCCCAGUAGUC